rnacentral:rRNA from 1 species
CUGCUGCCUUCCGUAGGAGUCUGGUCCGUGUCUCAGUACCAGUGUGGGGGACCUUCCUCUCAGAACCCCUACGCAUCGUCGCCUUGGUGGGCCGUUACCCCGCCAACAAGCUAAUGCGACGCAUGACCAUCCGUAGCCGGAAUCGCUUCCUUUAAACCCACAGAGAUGCCUCCAUGGGUUGUUACGCGGUAUUAGACGGAAUUUCUUCCGCUUAUCCCCCUGCUACGGGCAGGCUUCAUACGUGUUACUCACCCGUGCGCCGGUCG